AUUGAACGCUGGCGGCAGGCCUAACACAUGCAAGUCGAACGGUAACAGGAAGCAGCUUGCUGCUUCGCUGACGAGUGGCGGACGGGUGAGUAAUGUCUGGGAAGCUGCCUGAUGGAGGGGGAUAACUACUGGAAACGGUGGCUAAUACCGCAUAAUGUCGCAAGACCAAAGAGGGGGACCUUCGGGCCUCUUGCCAUCGGAUGUGCCCAGAUGGGAUUAGCUUGUUGGUGGGGUAACGGCUCACCAAGGCGACGAUCCCUAGCUGGUCUGAGAGGAUGACCAGCCACACUGGGACUGAGACACGGUCCAGACUCCUACGGGAGGCAGCAGUGGGGAAUAUUGCACAAUGGGCGCAAGCCUGAUGCAGCCAUGCCGCGUGUAUGAAGAAGGCCUUCGGGUUGUAAAGUACUUUCAGCGGGGAGGAAGGGAGUAAAGUUAAUACCUUUGCUCAUUGACGUUACCCGCAGAAGAAGCACCGGCUAACUCCGUG
rnacentral:rRNA from 1 species